AGUGAACGCUGGCGGCAGGCCUAAUACAUGCAAGUCGAACGGCAGCACAGCAGAGCUUGCUCUGUGGGUGGCGAGUGGCGGACGGGUGAGGAAUACAUGGGAAUCUGCCCAGUCGUGGGGGAUAACGUAUGGAAACGUACGCUAAUACCGCAUGCGCCCUACGGGGGAAAGUCGGGGACCGCAAGGCCUGACGCGAUUGGAUGAGCCCAUGUUCGAUUAGCUAGUUGGCGGGGUAAAGGCCCACCAAGGCGACGAUCGAUAGCUGGUCUGAGAGGAUGAUCAGCCACACUGGAACUGAGACACGGUCCAGACUCCUACGGGAGGCAGCAGUAGGGAAUAUUGGACAAUGGGUGAGAGCCUGAUCCAGCCGUGCCGCGUGCAGGAAGAAGGCCUUCUGGGUUGUAAACUGCUUUUGCCAGGGGAUAAAAUUCUCAUGCGUGAGAAAUUGAGGGUACCUGGCGAAUAAGCCACGGCUAA
rnacentral:rRNA from 1 species